GGGGGGUGGUAUUGCAAAUUCUUUUUAUAUUGACUUUUUCUGUGAACUUUUAAAAUAAAUUCUUAUUAUUAAACCCAGCAUAGGCGUUGACUUGGCUGAGAGACUGAGUUGAUAGGUUACUAGUUUAAGGAUCAUUAAAAAAAAUUAAUUAAAUAUACACCUAUUAACAUAAAUAAAUAAGUUUAAUUAACUAUUUUCUUUUAACUUCAAAAUCAAACUUUUAACAUUCAUUAAGUAACCAUGAAUGAAGAAACAACAAAGCAACAACAGCAGAUCUCAUUUCAACCCAUCCAAAGCCCUAGAUGCCACCCUUAAGAAAAAGCAUCAAUCAAAAUUUUGACCCCAUCCUCUAGAAAAAAAUACAGGGCAAUGCACAAAUGCCUCUUUCCCUCUCUCUCU
rnacentral:misc_RNA from 1 species